rfam:Nematostella vectensis strain CH2 x CH6 NEMVEscaffold_317_Cont23618, whole genome shotgun sequence.
GCAUCCCUAUUAUUAUCGGGGUAGACAUUAAAGUGACGUGAAAAUAAAGUGUAAUAAGCUAAUAAUUGCUGACUCUAUGGGAGACAAGGAUGACCUAAAUUUUAACAGAUUAAGAGUACUGUAAGUAAUAUUUGAAAGGUUUACUUCUAAAACUUGUGAUUUAGACUCAUAAUAUAUAUUACAGAAUGGCAAAGUUAAAUUAAGAAACAGCAGGAACUUGGUUCCAUUGCAUCAAUAAAUUAUGCUCAAUUCAUUUUCAGACAGUCUUGAGGGCCCGUUUCUUGUCAAGAGAAUCAAAACUCUUCCAAAGACUGGCCUUCUCAAAACCUUGGUAACCGAAGCCGGACAGUGAAUGCGAGUUCCUAGUGGGCCAUUUUUGGUAAGCAGAACUGGCGAUGCGGGAUGAACCGAACGCGCGGUUAAGGUGCCAAAGUCGACGCUCAUCAGACCCCACAAAAGGUGUUGGUUGCUCUAGACAGCAGGACGGUGGCCAUGGAAGUUGGAAUCCGCUAAGGAGUGUGUAACAACUCACCUGCCGAAGCAACUAGCCCUGAAAAUGGAUGGCGCUCAAGCGUCGCACCUAUACCGUGCCGUCGGAGCAGAUGCGAAGCUCCGACGAGUAGGAGGGCGUGGGGGUCGUGACGCAGCCUCUGGCGCGAGCCUGGGUGAAACGGCCUCCAGUGCAGAUCUUGGUGGUAGUAGCAAAUAUUCAAAUGAGAGCUUUGAAGACCGAAGUGGAGAAAGGUUCCAUGUGAACAGCAGUUGGACAUGGGUUAGUCGAUCCUAAGAGAUAGGGAAAUUCCGUUGCAAGCG